rnacentral:rRNA from 1 species
CCUACGGGAGCAGCAGUGGGGAAUAUUGGACAAUGGGCGAAAGCCUGAUCCAGCCAUGCCGCGUGUGUGAAGAAGGCCUUCGGGUUGUAAAGCACUUUCAGUGGGGAAGAAAGCCUUGGGGCUAAUACCCUCGAGGAAGGACAUCACCCACAGAAGAAGCACCGGCUAACUCCGUGCCAGCAGCCGCGGUAAUACGGAGGGUGCGAGCGUUAAUUGGAAUUACUGGGCGUAAAGCGCGCGUAGGCGGUCUGAUAAGCCGGUUGUGAAAGCCCCGGGCUCAACCUGGGAACGGCAUCCGGAACUGUCAGGCUAGAGUGCAGGAGAGGAAGGUAGAAUUCCCGGUGUAGCGGUGAAAUGCGUAGAGAUCGGGAGGAAUACCAGUGGCGAAGGCGGCCUUCUGGACUGACACUGACGCUGAGGUGCGAAAGCGUGGGUAGCAAACAGGAUUAGAUACCCGGGUAGUC